rnacentral:rRNA from 1 species
GCGCAUCCUUCGGGGUGAGCGGCAGACGGGUGAGUAACGCGUGGGAACCUACCCUUUGGUACGGAAUAGCUCCGGGAAACUGGAAUUAAUACCGUAUAUCUCCUGAGGGAGAAAGAUUUAUCGCCAAAGGAUGGGCCCGCGUUGGAUUAGCUAGUUGGUGGGGUAAUGGCCUACCAAGGCGACGAUCCAUAGCUGGUCUAAGAGGAUGAUCAGCCACAUUGGGACUGAGACACGGCCCAAACUCCUACGGGAGGCAGCAGUGGGGAAUAUUGGACAAUGGGCGCAAGCCUGAUCCAGCCAUGCCGCGUGAGUGAUGAAGGCCCUAGGGUUGUAAAGCUCUUUCAGUGGGGACGAUAAUGACGGUACCCACAGAAGAAGCCCCGGCUAACUUCGUGCCAGCAGCCGCGGUAAUACGAAGGGGGCUAGCGUUGUUCGGAAUUACUGGGCGUAAAGCGCACGUAGGCGGACUUUUAAGUCAGGGGUGAAAUCCCGGGGCUCAACCCCGGAACUGCCUCUGAUACUGGAAGUCUCGAGUGUGGUAGAGGUGAGUGGAAUUGCGAGUGUAGAGGUGAAAUUCGUAGAUAUUCGCAGGAACACCAGUGGCGAAGGCGGCUCACUGGACCACAACUGACGCUGAGGUGCGAAAGCGUGGGGAGCAAACAGGAUUAGAUACCCUGGUAGUCCACGCCGUAACGAUGGAAGCUAGCCGUUGGGGGAUUUAUCCUUCGGUGGCGCAGUUAACGCUUUAAGCUUCCCGCCUGGGGAGUACGGUCGCAAGAUUAAAACUCAAAGGAAUUGAC